ACGGGAGGCAGCAGUGGGGAAUAUUGCACAAUGGGGGAAACCCUGAUGCAGCGACGCCGCGUGAGUGAAGAAGUAUUUCGGUAUGUAAAGCUCUAUCAGCAAGGAAGAAAAUGACGGUACUUGACUAAGAAGCCCCGGCUAACUACGUGCCAGCAGCCGCGGUAAUACGUAGGGGGCAAGCGUUAUCCGGAUUUACUGGGUGUAAAGGGAGCGUAGACGGCAUAGCAAGUCUGAAGUGAAAUGCAUGGGCUCAACCCAUGAACUGCUUUGGAAACUGUUAAGCUAGAGUGCAGGAGGGGUAAGUGGAAUUCCUAGUGUAGCGGUGAAAUGCGUAGAUAUUAGGAGGAACACCAGUGGCGAAGGCGGCUUACUGGACUGUAACUGACGUUGAGGCUCGAAAGCGUGGGGAGCAAACAAGAUUAGAUACCCUGGUA
rnacentral:rRNA from 1 species